rnacentral:rRNA from 1 species
GAUGAACGCUAGCGGCAGGCUUAAUACAUGCAAGUCGUGGGGCAGCAGGGUUGUAGCAAUACAAUCGCUGGCGACCGGCAAACGGGUGCGUAACACGUACGCAACCUUCCCGUUACUGUGGCAUAGCCCAGGGAAACUUGGAUUAAUACCACAAAUUAUAUUGAGGGGGCAUCCCUUUGAUAUCAAAGAUUCGGCGGUAAAGGAUGGGCGUGCGGUUGAUUAGGUAGUUGGCGGGGUAACGGCCCACCAAGCCUACGAUCAAUAGCUGAUGUGAGAGCAUGAUCAGCCACACGGGCACUGAGACACGGGCCCGAAUCCUACGGGAGGCAGCAGUAAGGAAUAUUGGUCAAUGGACGCAAGUCUGAACCAGCCAUGCCGCGUGGAGGAUGAAGGUCCUCUGGAUUGUAAACUUCUUUUAUCUGGGAAGAAACCCAUAUUUUCUAGUGUGGUUGACGGUACCAGAUGAAUAAGCACCGGCUAACUCCGUGCCAGCCGCCGCAGUAAGAC